AUAAAUGCAAUGAAGGAGAACGGUAUUUUGCUUGUAGCAGUUUCAGAGAGUCGGUGGUAGCUGCGAACCGAUACUGUCGUGAAAUACAAAUCCCUCCUAAGCAGUUCCUCUGAAACCAGAUUCAAUAACUCCAGUAAGAGGUAAACGGUAAGCUCCGUUAUAGGCAAGGGUUUGAUAGAACCUAGUGAGUGGUCUCUACUGUGAGGUAGAUUCAAUUUAGGGUGGUAACGCGUGGAAUAAUUCCUCGUCCCUGUA
rnacentral:ncRNA from 1 species